rnacentral:RNase_P_RNA from 1 species
GAGGAAAGUCCGGGCUCCAUAGGGCAGGGUGCCAGGUAACGCCUGGGGGGGAAACCCACGACCAGUGCAACAGAGAGCAAACCGCCGAUGGCCCGCGCAAGCGGGAUCAGGUAAGGGUGAAAGGGUGCGGUAAGAGCGCACCGCGCGACUGGUAACAGCUCGCGGCACGGUAAACUCCACCCGGAGCAAGGCCAAAUAGGGGUUCACAAGGUACGGCCCGUACUGAACCCGGGUAGGCUGCUUGAGCCAGUGAGCGAUUGCUGGCCUAGAUGAAUGACUGUCCACGACAGAACCCGGCUUA